AACGAACGCUGGCGGCAUGCCUAACACAUGCAAGCCGAACGAGACCUUCGGGUCUAGUGGCGCACGGGUGCGUAACGCGUGGGAACCUGCCCUUAGGUUCGGAAUAACUCCCCGAAAGGGGUGCUAAUACCGGAUAAUGUCUUCGGACCAAAGAUUUAUCGCCUUUGGAUGGGCCCGCGUUGGAUUAGCUAGUUGGUAGGGUAAAAGCCUACCAAGGCGACGAUCCAUAGCUGGUCUGAGAGGCUGAUCAGCCACACUGGGACUGAGACACGGCCCAGACUCCUACGGGAGGCAGCAGUGGGGAAUAUUGGACAAUGGGCGAAAGCCUGAUCCAGCAAUGCCGCGUGAGUGAUGAAGGCCUUAGGGUUGUAAAGCUCUUUUACCCGGGAUGAUAAUGACGGUACCGGGAGAAUAAGCUCCGGCUAACUCCGUG
rnacentral:rRNA from 1 species